CCUGCCAGCCAAUCAGAUUUGAUUACCUAGAGACACGCCUCCUCACUCUGAAGCCUAAUGCAGGCAUGCAGUGUGAAGGACCGCCCCUCAGUCUUCUGUUUAUACUAAAAGAAAGACAUUCAAGCCCUAGCAACAGUCUUUUAAGUAAUCAGUGUAAAGACACAGAGGACAUUAAUUAUUAUUAGCUGUUAUUAUAAGGUAAUUACAGAUGUUUAGACAAUCAUUGACAGACUGACUCAUGUAUACAUGCCUAGCUGUAAUAAACUGGCAAAUAAAAAAAUAUGGCAGUUACAUUUUAAGUCAGUGAAGGGUGGUUUUAAGGCAAAGUCCUCACCUAACUUCAUGGUGGUGCACCCUGGUGCAUUGCAUGCAUUUUCUUUAUGACCUUGGUACAUAUAUGAUGUCCUUUGUCAUGGUCAAUGCAUUUGAAGACCUUUUUGAACAAAAUGGAAAUUGAUAUCCUUUUCAUAAUGCAAUGGUGGUUCACACUUCAUAACAAAACUAGGUGUUAUUAUAUGCUAUAGGCUGUAUGGUGGGUAUAGUGGACUUGUCGUUUCCUAUGUACAGUUUGAAAAAACACAGAUGUAGCAGAGCCCAAUGUUAGUGGAUGGAUUAUCAUGAAGUCCAGUGGAAAAGCACAGAUAACAAUCAUAACAUUGCUAUGUUUUGUGCCAUAUGCCAAAAACAGCUCUGCUAUAUCUGAAUAUGCAGUUAUACAUUAAUAAGUAACCUUGUGUUUUAGGCAUAUCAUAUGGCUUCCAGAUACUAUUUCAUAAAGCAAUGUAGAACACCAAGAACCACUAAACCCAAAAUGAAGUAGGCGUAUCCAUAUCAAUUCUUAUAAAUUCUAACAUGGGGUUGAGUUUUUUAGGAUAAAGAGAGGUUAAAAUAUUGGGGACCAUUCAUGAAAAAACUAACAGGUGGUGGUGUUGCCCAUCGCAACCAAUCAGGUUUUUUUUUUGUUCAUUUUUCCAGAGCACUGUAAAAAAUGAAAGCUGAGCUCCCGGUUGGUUGAAUUAGACAAGGCCAGCUUCUGUACACUCCAGACUUCUAAAUACCUUGUAACUUGUCUACACUUGGCACAGUUCAAGGACUAUAGCUGGUCUUAUUAAAAUUAGAGUAAAUGAAAAAUGGAGGAUUUGCAUUUAAUACACUGUUCAUAUUGCAACUCUUAUGUACCCAAAGUCUUCAGGAAAAAAAAAAAAGCUGGAUUCUAAUAGGCUGCUAGGGGCAAUUUAUGAGGUUCAGAGACCCCCACCAAUCCUGAGACUGAAGGGGUCGUGGCACAGACGCGCUACUGCUGCCCCUUCGCAGCCGAAUGACUGGGAACACCACUGUGCGGGGUUCACAGAGGAGAUAUGCCAUGACUUUAGGCAAUAUACGCAGGCUGAUGGUAGACGUGAUAUGUGCUGUUCUUUUUCCUAUGAUGUUGUUCUUGGUAUGUGAAGUUUACAUGUCUGAUACGGAUUGGUUUUAUGCUAUGUAUAGGAAGAUGUUUUAUUCUUGGAAAGUGAAGAAGAUGGUUUAUGAAUUAGAUUUUUACUGUAAGUUUGUUAGAGAGUAUAUGGAAGAAGUUGUGAUAUUGUAAUUGGAAAAUCAAGUUACAGAGCAGUAGUGGCUACCAGCUAUUGUAGUCUUUCUGAAAAAACAAAUGUGUACAUGUAUACGAACAGACUGAGUGGCCACGUUGUUACAGACAUCCAUACAGUAGUGCAUGAGCCCUCUUUUGGUCUUCAGAACUGAUGCAAUUCAUCAUGCCAUAGAGUCCACAAAGGUGUUAAAAAAAUUCUGCACAAAUAUUGGACCAUGUGGACAAGACAGCUUCUCACAGUUGCUGUAAGUUUCAUGGAGGUACUGACAUCUGAACAGCCUCUUCUACCUCAUCCCAGAAAUGCUCUAAAGGAAUAAGAUCUGGGCACUGAAGGCCAGGGAAACGAGGAAAACUCACGGUCAUGUUCCUGGAACCAAUCCAUAACUAUACUACCUUUGUGGUAUGGUGCAUUGUUCUGCACCCGCCAAGAAGGGAUGAACUUGGUUGGCCACAAUGCUUAGGUAAGCCUUACUGUCCAAAUGUCCAUCCACAGGCAUCAGGGGAAACAAGGUGUGCCAAGAAAACAUUCUCCACACCAUUACUCCACCUCCACCAGCCUAAACUGUUGAUAUCUUACAGGAAGGGUUCAUAGAAUUACGCUGCUUCUGACCCUCUCAUCAGCAUGGUGCUGCAGAAAUCUGGAUUCAUAUGACUAGGCGAAGUUUUUGCACUGCUCAGUGAUCCAAUUUUUUUGCUUCCCUCGAGGGUGUUGGUUUUUACAUACUGGCCUCCCGGUUAGUCCAGCACCAAUGACCAUACCUCAUUUGACGUUGCUUAUAUCGCCCAUUCAAAUCAAUGGAAAACUUGCUGCCCUGAUUUUAUGCUGCAUUCCGGGGUCACAUGAAUGAUUUCCAUACAGAGAAUCUCCAACCAUGAAAGGGCAGGUGUCUAUAAUAAAGUGCCCAUUCAGUGAAUAUGCACAUACAGUAUUUUCCACUGACCUAUACACAGUGGACCUCAUAUCUAAGACUAGUUUGUGCAGGUUCGAUUGAGUUGGCUAUGGACAUUUUGUAUUGUUGGUGCCUUUAUACUUUCUUAAUCAUUUUCUGUUAUAUUAUAAAGCUGCUUUCACACAGUCAGUGUUUGAUCAGUUAUUUCCCAUUGAGAUUUUUAGCCAAAACCCUGUGCA